rnacentral:rRNA from 1 species
AUGAACGCUAGCUACAGGCUUAACACAUGCAAGUCGAGGGGCAGCAUGGUCUUAGCUUGCUAAGGCCGAUGGCGACCGGCGCACGGGUGAGUAACACGUAUCCAACCUGCCGUCUACUCUUGGACAGCCUUCUGAAAGGAAGAUUAAUACAAGAUGGCAUCAUGAGUCCGCAUGUUCACAUGAUUAAAGGUAUUCCGGUAGACGAUGGGGAUGCGUUCCAUUAGAUAGUAGGCGGGGUAACGGCCCACCUAGUCUUCGAUGGAUAGGGGUUCUGAGAGGAAGGUCCCCCACAUUGGAACUGAGACACGGUCCAAACUCCUACGGGAGGCAGCAGUGAGGAAUAUUGGUCAAUGGGCGAGAGCCUGAACCAGCCAAGUAGCGUGAAGGAUGACUGCCCUAUGGGUUGUAAACUUCUUUUAUAAAGGAAUAAAGUCGGGUAUGGAUACCCGUUUGCAUGUACUUUAUGAAUAAGGAUCGGCUAACUCCGUGCCAGCAGCCGCGGUAAUACGGAGGAUCCGAGCGUUAUCCGGAUUUAUUGGGUUUAAAGGGAGCGUAGAUGGAUGUUUAAGUCAGUUGUGAAAGUUUGCGGCUCAACCGUAAAAUUGCAGUUGAUACUGGAUAUCUUGAGUGCAGUUGAGGCAGGCGGAAUUCGUGGUGUAGCGGUGAAAUGCUUAGAUAUCACGAAGAACUCCGAUUGCGAAGGCAGCCUGCUAAGCUGCAACUGACAUUGAGGCUCGAAAGUGUGGGUAUCAAACAGGAUUAGAUACCCUGGUAGUCCACACGGUAAACGAUGAAUACUCGCUGUUUGCGAUAUACUGCAAGCGGCCAAGCGAAAGCGUUAAGUAUUCCACCUGGGGAGUACGCCGGCAACGGUGAAACUCAAAGGAAUUGACGGGGGCCCGCACAAGCGGAGGAACAUGUGGUUUAAUUCGAUGAUACGCGAGGAACCUUACCCGGGCUUAAAUUGCAGAUGAAUUACGGUGAAAGCCGUAAGCCGCAAGGCAUCUGUGAAGGUGCUGCAUGGUUGUCGUCAGCUCGUGUCGUGAGAUGUUGGGUUAAGUCCCGCAACGAGCGCAACCCUUAUUGCCAGUUACUACGCAAGAGGACUCUGGCGAGACUGCCGUUGACAAAACGGAGGAAGGUGGGGAUGACGUCAAAUCAGCACGGCCCUUACGUCCGGGGCUACACACGUGUUACAAUGGGGGGUACAGAGGGCCGCUACCACGCGAGUGGAUGCCAAUCCCCAAAACCUCUCUCAGUUCGGACUGGAGUCUGCAACCCGACUCCACGAAGCUGGAUUCGCUAGUAAUCGCGCAUCAGCCACGGCGCGGUGAAUACGUUCCCGGGCCUUGUACACACCGCCCGUCAAGCCAUGGGAGCCGGGGGUACCUGAAGUGCGUAACCGCGAGGAGCGCCCUAGGGUAAAACUGGUGACUGGGGCU